rnacentral:lncRNA from 1 species
GAUUUAAGAGAGCAGAAACCACACCUAUCUUACUCAAAUAUAUAUGCCUAUAGCCUAACACAGUAGAUGCUCAAUAAGUAUUUGUUGAGUUAGUAUCUUCUAUCUACCUCAUAGGCACGGCAUAAUAUAUUUCUAAGUAAUAUGAAAUAUUUAAGUGACAAUCUUGUAGUCUGUAUAUGCCAAUAUGUCCCUUUCACAUUGAAAUACCCUAAAGAAUGCACUUAUUACUUAAAUCAGGAUAGUUAGCACUGAUUAUCCAACUAUAUUUCCAUAAAGAAUUGAAAAUUUGAUUAAUUAAAAAUCUUUAAAGAAUAAUGUGACAAUAAAAAGUAAAUGUUUUAGUGAAGUGGGAAAGUGCUAAGAAGAGAUAGGCAGUGAGGAAAGAUGUGAAUGAAAGCUGAAGAAAAUUCUGAAGAGAAAGGCCUUACUGAUAUACUGUAAUAUUGACAAAAGUAAUCAGGAUCAGAUAGGAGGAUUAUAAUAGAGCCUAGGCAGUAUUUUGAGGACAGGAAAAAAGGCUCAGAGAUGUAGUUUGAAUUUUGUCUUAAAUCUGUUAUACUGAUUGAUUUUCUGGAGGAAAGCUGUUUUGUGUUUUUAAAAAUCAAUUUCACAUUUACACUAUUCCUGAAGUAGUUAUAGUAACAUUUUCAUGUAGAACAUAUAUGCUUCUGAACCACAUUAAUUGUACAUUAUUCAUACAUGAGACCAUGUUCUUGUUCAAGUCAUCUACUAACUGAGCCUAUUAUACUUAGGAAUUCCAUUAUUAGAAUGCAGCAGUCUAUCUUUUGGAAAAAGGAGCAGAGAAAAAAAAUUAUUUUUUCAUAACCCUAAAAUGAAAUUGAUUGUUUUUCAUAAGAAAGAUGUGUUUGAACAUCCUAUUUCCUACCUAGUUGCUCUAGAGUUAGCCUCAACAGCAGGUAUCUGGGAGCAAAGUGAGAAAAGCUGGAGGCCUCAUUCUUCUGUAGACUGGGAGCUGAGAGAGUGGAGGCCCUGUAUUCUUGGCUGUGGUCAGUUUGGAGUGGAGCCCCUGCGUCGCUGUGUUGGGAGAGUGGUAGGAGGGAGAUGUCUUGUUUCAAAUACUAUGUCUCACCUUUCUUUCCACAUUUUCACAGAUUCCCUUGAUAAGAUGAUUCUUUAUUUCCUAUUUGCCCUUAGAACCAUUUCCAAAGAGGCUUUAAGUGGUGGUUUUUAAAAAAUAAUUUUCACCAUGCCCCUGGGGGAUGAGUCAGCAGAACUCCUCAUACUAUCAUACUGAAAGUUGAUCAUUGUUAUGUGUUCUUUUUAUUUUUGAUUACAAAAAUAGCACAUAUUCCUUAUACAACAUCUCAAAAAGGCCUUUAUAAAGAAAUAAAAUUAUAAAUAAGUACUGUAGAGCACAGGAAAAUCUAUUCAAUAGUUUGUAAUAACCUAUAUGGGGAAAAGAAUGGAUAUAUUUUUAUGUAUGACUGAUUCAUUUUGCUGUACACCUGAAAAUAAUAGAACAUUGUAAGUCAACUAUACUCCAAUAAAAUUAAGUUUCAAAAAAGAAAUAAAAUUAAAUUCCCUCCCUACCAAUUCCACUCCUUAGGGUAAACCACUGCUAAGUUAAAGUUAAUAAUUAAGUUUUAAAAUAAGCACAUAUCCCUGCAAAUGGCAUGUGACACAGUUAUUUCCACAUUUCUCACAUUAAUUCCUUGAUUGUCCACUAGUCUAACUUGGCUCCAAGCAGUGCACAAGACUAUACCUGUACUAUCCUAUCUCUAGUUCCUAAGUAUUUCCAUAAAUUUUAAUUUAAUCCAUUGAUCAGUCUCAGAACUCACCUUACCUACUAGCAGCAGUAUUUGAUACAGUUGAACACUGUCUUCUCUAAAAAAACUUUCCUUUUCCCUUCUGACCCCCAAAUGCCUGAUUUUCUUCUGUUUUUAUGGCUAUUCAUUCUUAGUCAACUUUAUUGGUUGGUUGCUACUCUUUUCUCUAUAAACUUUGGAGUUCUAAGAGUUACACCUUUGGAUAUCUUUUUCUUUUUCUUUUUUUUUUUUUUUGAUCUAUAUUUACUCCUUUUCUGAUUUUUUCAAUAAGCCUGAUGGCUUUAAAUUCGCUAUCCAUACACUGAUGAUUCCCAGAUGUAUACUGAUAGACCUCUUUCUAAACUCCAAACACAUAUAUCCAAGAGACCCUGUUAUUUGUCUAAUGGGAAUCUCAGACUUCACAUAUUCUAUACUGAGUUUCUGAUCUCACUUCUCCCAACCUGCUUUUCUCACAUCCUACUACUCCAUUGCAAUAAAUGGCAAUACCAUUCUUCCAGUUACUCAGACUUAGCUGAAGAAUGACUUAGCUGAUUCUGUCAUACCCCAUAUUCAUUUAUUUAGCAAACCUGGUCACCUCAUCUUUAAAAUUAUGUCCAGAUUGGUGAGGUCAUCUUUAUUGUUGCUAUUGCCAACAUUCUGGUGCAAGCUACCCUUUUUUCUCUUAUUAUAGACUUUUAAGUAAUUAAGUUCCCAGCAGUUAACAGAUGAUAUACUCAAAUAUUACAAUUAACAAACAUUUGUAAGAGUGUGAGUGUUAACCAAAACUGGAGCUAGUGGCAGCUAGGUUAUUUUCAUUCUUGAGCCUGGAAGUAUAAUGUUAUGGCUUGAGUUGUGUCUCCCCACAAAAGAUAGAAGUUGUAACACCAGUACCUAUGCAUGUGAUCUUAUUUGGGAAUAGGAUCUUUGAAGAUUAGUAAGUUAACUUGAAAUUAUUAGGGGGGGCUGUACUCCUAUAUGA